rnacentral:tRNA from 1 species
AUUUACAUAGCUCAGCUAGAGCCCUAUAGUGAAGCCAUAGAGGAGAUUAAUUCUGUAAAUA